UGUCACUAUUUUUAUUACAGUGCCUAAGAACACACCGAAGCGUGCACCAUCCACCUGAAGUCCCCAUUCUGCCAAGCAGGGCAAGAGCAGAGCACCAAGCAGGCCUAGGAGCUCACAUGUCACAAGCAGCAGCUUCCAACUUCACCCUGAGUACGUAGCAGCUGAAGGUUUUACAGGGAAAUCUCACAGGGCUCUAAAGGAUAACCGCUUUGCCGCCUUAACUACCGCUAUGGAUGAAUUCCCUGCGUUUAGGUUCACCUCUCUACUGAGAAGUGCCAGAGUCCACAUCACAGACGCGGUGAGGCGAGAGAAGCAACCUACACGAUCACCUGGAUGAGAAAACAGUUGCACGGCAAAUGAAGGCGUCAAUUACAAACCACCGCAGUUCCCAGAGAACAUGCACUUGUGCCGCUCCGCUUCGUCCGUUUUGGAAGGGGCGCUUGGAAGGACACGGGGCAGAGGGGCUCGGGCCCGGGAGCUGCUGCUGAGGGCCCCGCAUCUGUCCACUCCAGGCUACCGCCAUCGCAGGCGAUGGAGAGAAACGAGAAAACAGGCAAGGCUGCACACACGAAGCAGCAAAAGAGGGUUUCGGUUGUGUUUUUUCAGACUUAUCGAAAGCCUGAGGCACGACCACGCGGGACAAGGAGAACAGCAGCCCGUCAGCCCACGAUGCGAGGGCAGGACGGGGAUCGGCAAGGGAAGGGGCACAGCUACACUAAAGCCCUCACAGAUGCGCCCAGCCCAGCUCCUCGACCAGCCCUGCCCCGGCCCGAACGCACGCGUACACGCGUGGAUGCGCACACGCGGCCGCAGCCCACGCCAGCGGAGAGCCCCGCGCUCGCCAGCUCCCGCCCGCCGCCGCUCGGGCUCCGCCGAGCCCCGGGGGGAGCCCGACCCGCCGCCGCGGGCGGAGGGGCCGUCAGAGGCGGCAGCGGCGGCCCCGCGGCGCCCCACCAGCCGGAGGGACGGUGCCCGGCGCGGGGAAAGUUUCCCCGGUGCGGCGGCCGGAGGGGAGGCGACGGCCCCUGAGCCGGGAAGGCGGGCAGGGCGCUGAGGGGAGCCCGGGCGCAGGCGGGCGGCGCGCCCCUGCCAGGGAGCCCCCCGCGCCCCAGGCGGCCGCCGCACGCCUCCUUACCCCGCCGUCAUCACCACGUUGUAGAUAACGAGGUCAAAAAUGCCCCUUUGCGCUCUCGCUCCUGCAGGAAGAAGUAGGUCUCCCAUUUCCUGAGGGAAAUUGGUAGCGUUAGUUGACAAGGCAGGUUACAGAUUUCUCAACGCUCUAGAAUCCUACCUUAAAAGAGGUAUUAUGUCAAGUCAUGCAAUAGCAUGCUCCCUGCUGCCUUGCUUAGGAUAGAGGAUGGACACACGAUGGACACAGCAGUGCUGCUGCAGCGCUCGCCUCUUCCUUCAUGGCCCCCCACUCACCGUGUCAGGGGGAGAGGGGAUGCAAAUGCUAAAUUACAAACACAGUGAUGGUGUGCGAGGCAGACACGAAAUCAGUGAGUCUUACACUUCGUGCAUGAGAUCUCGCAGUUCUGAGCGUAUAAUCAAAACAGGAAAGCAGAGCUACAGCUAAAGAGAGAUGCGAUUCUCAGUGACUUUUAUUUGCAUUCUGUAGUGAUGAUGUGAUGGUCCAUUUUGGAUAAUGGCUCAUAGUUGUGAGUCUGCAAAAAUAGCUGGACCUUAAGGAAGUGAAGACAGAUUGGGAGCCUGUCACUUUGAGGUGGAGAGGGAAAGUCCAGGCGAUGACUCACAGGUCCUCCCUAACUUCUAUUACUUCAGCCUUCUGGCAAGAAAGACAAAAGCUGAUUAUUACUGUUAAUCAUUAUUGUGGCAAUAGCUGUGCAUCAAAAAGAAGAUUUUCAAUGCGUUAGCUCAUGAGGAGUUAAAUGAGCUUAAAGACACCUUAGCAAACAAGUAAUUUUGUAAUAUAUUUCACAAGGCAUAUUGGGUCAUCUGAAUCAAGUGGAACACCACCCCAGUCCCAUCAGCUGAACAUUACAGCAUCCAAAUACCUGGCUUCUGGUGGCACAGAGCAACUGUGAAGAAGCACUUCUGCCACUGCUGGCAGACUGGUCUUUGGCAAGGCAUUUCACCUUUUCUCCAUCGGUUUCACCCGCUCCCUUUCCUUGCCUACUCAAAUGAUGACAGUGUUCUCCAACACAGACCGCACUGGAGCAGCAGCCCUGGUUGCAUGCCUUAGGAGCACACGCAACUGCUAUCACCGAUUUUUGGCUCGGCUGCCCGACAUGUCACUGCUUAUACUGUAAACACACGAAAAUUCAUCAUAUACUUUGAUAACAAAUGACAGCAAAGGACGUUAAACUCCCCAUUUAAAUGCGUGUGUAACACUGUGUUUCAUGUUUUGUUCCUUAAGGUGUAAGAGGCCUCAAGGGGGCAAUGCAGCAUUGAUGGAGCUGUUGGGUUUUUCAUGGCUGUGCAGGCAGCCUGGGCUCUCCAUACAGCUCUUCCCGUGCUCUGUAACUCAGGGGGCCUCAAAAGCUAGAGAAAUAAAUGCAUUUGUCAUCUGAG